rnacentral:tRNA from 1 species
CGGGCUGUGGCGCAGCCUGGAAGCGCACUUGCAUGGGGUGCAAGGGGUCGAGAGUUCGAAUCUCUCCAGCCCGACCA